rnacentral:rRNA from 1 species
GACGAACGCUGGCGGCGUGCUUAACACAUGCAAGUCGAACGGAAAGGCCCUGCUUUUGUGUGGUGCUCGAUUGGCGAACGGGUGAGUAACACGUGAGUAACCUGCCCUUGACUUUGUGAUAACUUCAGGAAACUGGGGCUAAUACCGGAUAGGAGCUCCUGCUGCAUGGUGUGGGUUGGAGAGUUUCGGCGGUUGGGGAUGGACUCGCGGCUUAUCAGCUUGUUGGUGGGGUAGUGGCUUACCAAGGCUUUGACGGGUAGCCGGCCUGAGAGGGUGACCGGCCACAAUGGGACUGAGAUACGGACCAGACUCCUAUGGGAGGCAGCAGUGGGGAAUAUUGCACAAUGGGCGGAAGCCUGAUGCAGCAACGCCGCGUGCGGGAUGACGGCUUUCGGGUUGUAAACAGAUGUCGACUGUGACGAAGCGUGAGUGACGGUAAUGGGUAAAGAAGCACCGGCUAACUACGUG